rnacentral:rRNA from 1 species
CAGCAGCAGGGAAUUUUGCACAAUGGGCGCAAGCCUGAUGCAGCGACGCCGCGUGAGCGAUGAAGGCCUUCGGGUCGUAAAGCUCUGUCGGUGGGAACGAUGCGUUUGCCGGUCAAUACCCGGUGAGCGUGACGGUACCCGCAAAGGAAGCACCGGCUAACUCUGUG